rnacentral:tRNA from 1 species
UUCUUUAAAAAUGAUAUUAUUAUCCUAUAUUA